rnacentral:misc_RNA from 1 species
GAAUCAGCCAUAUGAAGAAUAUAGGAAAGCAGCAACUCUAUAUAAAGCACGAAGCAAUAUAUAUGAUCACAUAUAGCAUCGAAAAUAUCAGAAAAAUUAAGCAAAAUCAGAGCCCUAUAGUGCGGUCGCGAAGAUGCCCCUUUCUGUGCCGAAGUCUGUAAGUGGGUCUUAUACGGAAGGGCAGCUGAUGGCCUUCUUCAAAGAGCAAGAUGUCAACGGCGAUGGUCGGCUUAGCAAAGAAGAGAUAAAGAAGGCGUUUCAACAACUGGGUUCUCGCCUCCCCGGAUGGAGAGUCCGCCGUGCACUUCACCACGCCGAUGUUAAUGGUGAUGGUAGCAUCAGUCUGGAUGAGCUUGAUGAGCUUGUCAAAUAUGUUGGUAAAAUAGGCUAUAGUAUUCAGUAGAAAGCAAUCUCUUGUUGUUAUAUCCUGUGCAAGAAAUUAAUUAAAGGGUUUUGUUAUUAUGAGAAACUAAUGUCCCGUAUGUAAGUUUAUGAAUGUGCGAUGGCUUGGAAUAAUUAUACGAUGCAAUAAUUAUAUGUACGAUAAAUAUUUGCUAAUAGAAUUCAUGUGAAAU